rnacentral:rRNA from 1 species
GUAUGGUUUCGGGCUGGUCGGGCGAAAUGCUCUGUACCGUUCGAGCCAUACUCCUUAUAGGAUACUCACCUCUGUCCUUAACUGGAUGGAGGUAAAAGAGGUGGCGCCGGGGGGCAACCCUCGACGUCAUCUUGGAGUUCCUAUUCGUUUACUUUGAAUAACUUAACGCGUUCAAAGCAGGCAAUCGAGCCUUGAAUACAUUAGCAUGGGAUAAUGGAACAGGAUUGGGGUCCUGAUUUCGUUGGUUUCUAGGAUCUCAGUA